UUGAAUAUUUCAGGUGAAAUCGAUCCUUGCCAAGUAUCAGAAAAGGAAAUCCGUGUGUAAUCCAUACCCUAAGGAGAGAGUCUGAUGGUACAGGGUCGUCUGAUUGAAUUACAAGGAAACCAGAAUACGGACAAUCUAAUUCUUCAACA